UCCCCCCUGAACCGUCUCACUCCACUUUCUGAACGGUCAGGGCAAAGAGAAGGAGGAUAACCGUCAGAUUUGCGGUGCGGCAGUGUGGAGACCUGUCGUAAUGUGGCGCGGAAGUAAUCGCCGGCUGCGAGGUGAUAUCGUGCGGAGGCAGUAUCACUAAAGUCUAAGAAUAUGGCA
rfam:Eubacterium hallii CAG:12 genomic scaffold, scf11